UCCGCCAUUGGAUCUCCGACGGAAGUGUGUGUGGCUGUGAGGAGUGGGGAUUAUGUAGUUUUCGCGGUUUUAGUUGGUGAGACUCUAGGGUGGGGUUGGGUUUGCAACCUCCGAGCUCGAGUACACAGAAUCUGAAUUUCAAAAAAUACUGACCCUGCCCCCGCGGAAGAGAUCCCAGUUGGAUUCCGACCUACGGAAGGCCAGAAGGACCAGGCUUCUCAGUGCCGCCAAAUGCGUGCCAGGCGAGGGUGCGCGGCUAAGUGGCGCCGCCUGUUUCCCUCGGCUCUUUACUGACCGAGCCUCCUCUGACUCCCCUGUGCCCAGAGCAUCUUAGCACCCCGGCUUCUUCCCUGCUUUUCCUCUUCAGGAGUCGUCCAGCUAGACUUGAAAGGGCCAAAGGCAGCCCUGGGAGGUGGAAAGGCCAGCCGCCCGGUCCCAGUGCCCGCUGCCCAGCCUCGAUCCUCGCCCCUGCCUCUGAUGGGCUUGGGCAAGAGAUAAACCUCUCUGGGUCUGUAUCCUCUUAGAUCUGUUGUGGGGUUUAAGUAGGGAGCGCCCGUGUGUGGUUCAUGUUAGCCUCCUCCCGACUCGUGAGAAAUUGCCUCCGCCAGGAACGUGGGAGCCGAAUUUGUACUUGCCCGGAGAACUGCCGCUUCCCAUUACGUACAUUAACCAAGAAAGACUGUCACGAAUUCACAAGCUUUUUCCAGUAGUGGACCCGUUUAUUACUCUCCUACCCGGCCCUAUGCAUCAUGUGUUGAAAAAUUCUGUGCUUAACUAUUGCAAUAUGAUUACUGAGCACCUGCUAUUUGCUGGGAACUGUUAGACACUAUGCUUGGCAAUAGAUAAAGAUGAGUAAGAGAUCACGUUGCCCUUGAGGCACUCCUGGACCGAAGAUGACCACAGAGAACUACUACAGUGUAGUGCAGUGUUUAUAAAUGUACAGAAGAAGAAAUGUACGAAUUUUUGUUAAUUCAGUCAGCCUUUUCUGAGCAACCAUAUCCACUAAAGUGCUGGGGACAGAGGGUUAGAAGCCUUGUCAACAGGAAGUGAAUUCCUCCUAUCAAAUACAGUCUUCUGUUGAUUGUCUCCUUGCAAGAAGCAGAUGGCUUCCAAACGCCGCAGAGGACACUGAGGCCGACGCACCAAAAGCCGCCUUUGCACUUAAACUGUAUGAAGCUGAAGGGGACUCAGCAGAAGACUGAGAGCUCUGAGGACACCCCAGCACUAGCCGAGAAUCACCUUGAUCAAGCCUCAGAUCUGAACACCUUUCCUGUAUGCAGUAAACACCUGUGUGGGUGGGUGGGGGGGGCCACCAUGCAGUGGGCCGAGUUGCCCAAGUCUUAGAGCAGGCUCAACAAAGGCAGAAGCAUAAAUGCUACAAGCUUACAAAAAGGCGCCUUCUGAAAAGUCAGUCCCUCUAAUGGAAGAUAGCAAGCACUGCCUAGAACAAAAAAAAAAAAAUGCUUACUCAGAUUUCACAAAAGUAAGUAAACGCGAAAGGACUUCUAAUAAACUUUCAAAUGGA